rnacentral:rRNA from 1 species
GACGAACGCUGGCGGCGUGCCUAAUACAUGCAAGUAGAACGCUGAAGAGAGGAGCUUGCUCUUCUUGGAUGAGUUGCGAACGGGUGAGUAACGCGUAGGUAACCUGCCUGGUAGCGGGGGAUAACUAUUGGAAACGAUAGCUAAUACCGCAUGAUAUUAAUUGUUGCAUGAUAAUUAAUUGAAAGAUGCAAUUGCAUCACUACCAGAUGGACCUGCGUUGUAUUAGCUAGUUGGUGAGGUAACGGCUCACCAAGGCGACGAUACAUAGCCGACCUGAGAGGGUGAUCGGCCACACUGGGACUGAGACACGGCCCAGACUCCUACGGGAGGCAGCAGUAGGGAAUCUUCGGCAAUGGGGGGAACCCUGACCGAGCAACGCCGCGUGAGUGAAGAAGGUUUUCGGAUCGUAAAGCUCUGUUGUAAGAGAAGAACGAGUGUGAGAGUGGAAAGUUCACACUGUGACGGUAUCUUACCAGAAAGGGACGGCUAACUACGUGCCAGCAGCCGCGGUAAUACGUAGGUCCCGAGCGUUGUCCGGAUUUAUUGGGCGUAAAGCGAGCGCAGGCGGUUAGAUAAGUCUGAAGUUAAAGGCUGUGGCUUAACCAUAGUAUGCUUUGGAAACUGUUUAACUUGAGUGCAGAAGGGGAGAGUGGAAUUCCAUGUGUAGCGGUGAAAUGCGUAGAUAUAUGGAGGAACACCGGUGGCGAAAGCGGCUCUCUGGUCUGUAACUGACGCUGAGGCUCGAAAGCGUGGGGAGCAAACAGGAUUAGAUACCCUGGUAGUCCACGCCGUAAACGAUGAGUGCUAGGUGUUAGGCCCUUUCCGGGGCUUAGUGCCGCAGCUAACGCAUUAAGCACUCCGCCUGGGGAGUACGACCGCAAGGUUGAAACUCAAAGGAAUUGACGGGGGCCCGCACAAGCGGUGGAGCAUGUGGUUUAAUUCGAAGCAACGCGAAGAACCUUACCAGGUCUUGACAUCCCUCUGACCGCUCUAGAGAUAGAGUUUUCCUUCGGGACAGAGGUGACAGGUGGUGCAUGGUUGUCGUCAGCUCGUGUCGUGAGAUGUUGGGUUAAGUCCCGCAACAAGCGCAACCCCUAUUGUUAGUUGCCAUCAUUGAGUUGGGCACUCUAGCGAGACUGCCGGUAAUAAACCGGAGGAAGGUGGGGAUGACGUCAAAUCAUCAUGCCCCUUAUGACCUGGGCUACACACGUGCUACAAUGGCUGGUACAACGAGUCGCAAGCCGGUGACGGCAAGCUAAUCUCUGAAAGCCAGUCUCAGUUCGGAUUGUAGGCUGCAACUCGCCUACAUGAAGUCGGAAUCGCUAGUAAUCGCGGAUCAGCACGCCGCGGUGAAUACGUUCCCGGGCCU